UUUCCGUAGGUGAACCUGCGGAAGGAUCAUUAUUGUAUAACCGAGGUGCGAGGGCUGUAGCUGACCCGGAAGGUCGAGCACGCAAGAGUGCCCUGUCACACAUCCAUCUCACCCCUAUGUGCACCACCGCGUGGGUCCUCCUUUGACUGGUUCGUUGGGGGGCUUACGUUUUCACACAAACUUAGUAUGCAGUGUAGCAUUUAUUGUCAGUGUUUGCGAACACGCAAUCAAUACAACUUUCAACAACGGAUCUCUUGGCUCUC
rnacentral:misc_RNA from 1 species